GAAAACAACAAAUAAAAUUAAUUAUGAAGUCUAUGUAAACAAAAUUGUCCUUCAAAAAAAGGCUAGUUGACAAGCACCAGCCUGAAGACUGUUGUCAUCAAGUUUUUGGUAGAAAAGGGGAAAAAUAGAAAUUAUUGAGCUUGUUUUAUUAUCAUGCAAUUCAUUGAGUUAUUACAGUGGAAGUGAAACGUGUAUCUAUACAAGUGCUGUUGAUCGAUUAAAAAAUUUUAUCAGAUUUUUUCAGUUGCGCUUUAUCACAAAGCCUAACUUUGUAAGCUUGGAAUAUAAAUGUGCACACUAUUGUGCAAACCCCUCCUUCUGCCCCAAACCAACCAAUUAAAAUGCAAACAGUUAUGUGUUCUAGUUUGUUUCUUGUUUUUAGAAGCAGAAAGCAGGUCAUGUCAUCUCCCAGAACUCAACAGCAACUAAGGGAAAAUUACUUCAACACAUGCAUACACGUAGCAGCAAACUUGUUCAGGGGACAACUGACAGAUAAGAUAUAUUUUGUUGUAAUUUGUUGCGUUGCUGUGAACUAGGAGUUAAAAUACGUUUGAUUAAUCUGCAUUAUGUAAUAUUAACGCAAUAAAAUUUUCAGUUUAAUUACGUUAAUGUUGACAGCCCUGACAGAUGAUCUUGGGUCCCAAAUGUCAUCGACUGAGAGGCGUGUCACGAUAACAUUUUGCUGGACAAUAAAUUGUUCCAGAAGUUAUUGUGAUAAACAAUAAACUUGAUGUUUUUAGGUUAUUUUCAAGUAAUAUAAUGGCAAUGGCAUAAUAAUGCAAGAUCUCAAAGAUAAAUAGACUUUAAAUUCUAAUGAACGUUUAACACUGGGACUGGAAGACAUUUAUCCAAAAUAAAUAAAACAGAAACAACAAAUAAAAUGAAUGAUGAGUCUCUGUAAAUAAAAUUGUCUGUCAAAAAAGGGCUAGUUGAGACCAAAGCAUCAAAAACACUAAUUUUGGAAAAAAGAAAAAUCAUGCAAAUGGAUGUUAUUGAGAUUGUUUAAUUGAUCAUGCGAUUAAUUGAUUUGUUAUUUAUUGUGACAGACCUCUCAUCUGCAUUCAAGACAUUUUUGGUUGUAAUUUAUUAUAUUCUGACCAGAACCAGAUCCAGUUACAAAAUCAUGUUUUAUUUUUCAACAUUAGCAGAAUAUAGAAAAAAGAGUGUAAUGGAAACGCAGCCAGUGAGGCCUCUGAGCCACUGGGAGCCCAUUAUUUUCUAAUAUGCUUUUUUUUAAAUGUGAAAAUUAGAUGCAUGCUGGACGUGGAGCUAAUGCCUAAUGUGUCAUCCUGCAUGUGUGCGACCGUAUUGGUAGGUUUAACCAGACCGCAUGUCUUCGUGCGGCCAUCGAUAGUGUUCUCGGUUAAUACGUGUAACUCAGUGGCUCACGCUGGAUGUUAAUGAGCGCUGAGAAGGAAAGGAAAGGAGAGCAGCGCCGGUCUAAUGAACUCAUAGCUCGCCCUGCGCUGUCACUCUCCUGCUCAGCUCUGUGACCUGGACAAUGCAAACACAUUGUUGCUGCGGCUUUGUGGCCUGCCAGCCCAGGCAGCCGGCGCCCCCGUCGACAGUCAAUGGGCUCCCUGUAACUUAAACUUGCCGGCGGUUUCGGGGCCAGCACAGGCAGCUGUCAUUCUGAGCAUUGUUGGCUGUUGACAGCAGCAUUCAGGGGAGAGGAGAGGCAGAAAAACUCGACACGGCGCAAAGUGGUGGCUGCGCGAGUUCGACCCGAAACAAUCUGCAUUUUUAUCUUAACCCAAAGAGAUGAGGCAGCGGUGAAGUUGGGCAGAGGAGGUAAACUGUUUAGAUGGAGGAAAAAGUCAAAAAAUAAGCAAGUUACAUAAUACAUCUAUCAGAAAGAAGAGGUUGAUUGGUUGUAUGGUAGCAUCUGAGGCGGCCUUAUUUGUACAUUUCGGAAUAAUUUAUUACAAACACAAAACACAGUGAAGAUAUUCUUUUUUUGCAAGAUUAUAAAAACAGCAGAAAUAUUUUACCGUAACUAUUUAAGGAAAGUUACGUGUACGACGACCACACAGGUAUGAAGAAUUAAAAAAUUAUUGUUCAUAUUACAUCUAUCAGACAGAAGUGGAUUGUUUGUAUGACAGGAUAUGAGACUGUAAAUAAGUUAAAGUAUGACCAAACUAAGGCUUAAUAAUUAAAAAACAGCAGUUUUUACAAACAAAACGCACUGUUAAGAUAAUUUAUUUGCAUGAUUGUAUAAACUGCAAAAAGUUUCAAAUAGAGAUGAGUUGACAUGUCUCAAAGAGAUGAAGGAAAGUUAUGCAGUAGGAAGACCACAAAUAACAGUGAAAAAGCAGUAAAUUUUGUUCAUAUUACGUCUAUCAGACAGAAGUGGUUGUAUAAGACAUGAGGCUGUAAACAAACUGAAAUUUGACUGAAUGACUUAUUUGUAAAUUAUGGAAUAAAGGUGACAAUAGAAUUACAAUUUGUGCAAUUUUAUGGUCAACGGAAACGCAGCUACUGUAAACAAACAUUUAUGGUAUAAACAAUCAUCUUUGGGCCUUUCGGUUCAGAGACAGCGUUGUUGAAAAUCUGGGUACAAACAAAAUGUUUAUGUGUAGAACUAAGUGGACAAAGAUACCAUCAAACUAAUUUAAAAACUGAAACCAAAACUAAGCAAAACAGAGAAGUAUCCAUAACGUUUUUAAACACUGAUAAGGUUUGUACAACAGCACUGAUUUUAACUGCUCACCUAAACAACUUUAGGUACAAAUAAUGGAGGAAAAUCUACUAAUGUACAAAUCCAGCUACGUGUCGCAUCCAGAGAGCCUAAAACUGUACAAAUGAUGAGACACAGGUCAAGAAGAAUCUCUGGAGUUUCCCAACACGCUGCAUUCAGGUACAGCUCGUAAACUAGAGUUUACAUUCACACCGCAGGUCUCGAUACUCAACUACUAUUUUUUGUUGUUGUUGAAAUACGAUUAAAUGCUACCGCAAUCAGACUUAUAUGCAGUGGUGGAGAAAGAUUUACGACCCCAAAGCAACCCGCAUGCGCAGAAGAAGACUGUGACAUCACACAGCAGCGCAUUGUUUACGGAAGUAAUAAUAGACAUCACCACUAUGGAUCGACAGGGAGCGACAGUCUGGCACUGAUAGCAAAACAACAUCAAACUACAUCUUGAACAGCUGAACAGCCUUUUGAGCUGGAAGCUGCGUUUUGGGGAAACAUCUGUGCGUCUUAUUUUGUUUGUGAUCGUUGAUUUAGGUUUUUAAUAUGUACAAUUUAAUGCCCACUAAUUGUUGUUUGUUAGCCGCAAAUAAACUCAAGAUGAAGAACAGUUUAAUAUAACUGAGCUCAGGUAGCUGCAGGCCAAGCUGCUCGGUGUUGCUCAUCAUGACGAGACAGGAGAUCCAAUCGAUUCACAGGCAUUUCCGAUUGACAUUUAAUUGGAAAAACUAACUGCAGAGCAUAGAUGAAUCAAUAUUUUUUAUCUACACCGAUUGCCGAGCAGAAAAUUGGCAAGGUAGGCUCAGUUAGCUUAGUGCUAGCGAGUGCUAGCUACCACACUGUCCGUAGCCAGAAAAACCUUCCUUCCACCCACCGCUGCUUCUUUUCACUCAUUUUGAAUCCUCUGCAUUUCAACCAUCGUUUAUGUUUCUCCUCACUUUAUCAACCAAUAUUGAAAUCAGACUCCCUGGACAUCCUCACCUUCUGUCCUCAGAGGCUUUUCAGAUGUUGCCAUUCCGUCUGUCUGUAUGUCGGUACAUCCGGGCCACCGUGACGUCAUUCGCGGUCACUGGCAUAGUCAUAACAUCGGAUAAAAUGCAACAUGAUGGUUGUGACGAAGACGGAAACCAACGUCACGUGAUUCAACUAGAUCGCGCUGUCAAAUGUAGUUGUUAAGACGCGGGACUUAUUUAAAACUUUCUACACAUCUGUUGACUGUUUUCUAGCGGUUACACUGCUACAUCUCCGUUCACUUUUAUGGGACAAUAAUAAAGUUAUUGCCGAAAGAAAAAACAAUAAUAAACGAUAGUUUCUUGGUCAUUUCUGAACUUGAAAAAGGUUCUUUGUUUACUAUAAAAAUAUAUAUUUUUCUUCUUGGUGAGUCUGUAGCAAAAACUUACUGAAACGUGACUUAAAACCAAACUGUAUUAAAAAGUGACGUAAAAGGCCUAAGAGAGAUCAAAACGUGAUUUUUGUGUAAUUAAUUUUUGUCUUUAUUUCCAUCUAUAUGAUGAAAAUACAUUGUGAAAUAUUUUCUUCUAGGCUACAAAUAAUCUCAAAUUCUGCGUAAGCAAGACGUUAGCAAUGCUGCAGCCAAUUUAAUCACAUCUAGACACCAGUAAACAUGUUAGGUAUUAUCAGUUAUGUGACUGGUCAAUUUUAAUUUUUACCAACAUUUUUAAACUUUCUGCUAAAAGCAACCCACGUCUCUUGAUUUAAUAUUAGCAAAUAAAAUAAACUGUUUUGCAAAAUGAUGUCAUGCAGCUGUUUUUCUCAUUCAAAUUAUUUUUUUAAUCCCUCUACAAACAAAAUGUGGAGAACACAAGACUUUAAAAGGCUAAAAAGGCAAAGUAUGCUUUUAACAAAAAUUCAAACUGGAGCACAGAUUGUCUUGUUUGUGACAGUUUUCCGCUGUUGAUUUAACGAACCUCACAAAAACAGUUUUCAAGUCCAGUGAUUACGAUAGUUUCUUGGCAACGCUGGAGCUUGAUGACACCGAAGGAUAAGACGCACGACACUCUGUGUCUGUCUUUCUUUAUUUUUAUUUUUCCUGGAGAGGAGUAUAAAUGAAGACCAGCGAGAGCAAAAAAGGGAAACCUCAUAAUGGGCAAAAAGCUUUAGAUAGUUAGCAAUCAGGAUGUGAAAACCAAUUACAGAAGAAAACUUGAGGGUUUUACUACAGUUUUCUUGUGAGAGCUGUAAUUUCUCAGUCAUCGAAGGCUUUUAGGCUCGUUUUUAUCACGGAAACCAGAGAAAUCCAUUUAUCCUCCUCUUUGAUUUUAGACAUCAAUCAUAGAUGUCAGGGGGUGGAAAGAAAUACAAAUAUUCUGCUUAAUUUCUGUGAAAUAUGAAGUGGAAUUUUAAAUUACACAUUGAACAACUUUUCCUUAGUGCGUUUUGGAUUGAGCUACGAUUUGAUCCUGUUGAAAGAAAAGUUAUUUUUGUUUUUUUCUCUUUAGUCUUAUUUUUACCCAUUAAGAUUAAAACCUCUCUUUCAAAGUAGUCAAGAGUAAUAUCCAUUAAUAGUGAGAAGAUAAUAUAAUAAAAUUGUUUAUUUUCUUCAAUAAAAAAGUUAAAUUGAGUUACAUCUUAGGCAAUGUUAUGAUUAUAUAUCUCCAGAAAUGAUUAAAGUAUUUAAUAAGAAUAUUUGACAUGGAAAGGUAGAAAAAACACAAUUUUGUAACUGUGGUAUAUAAAUUAAAUAAGAAACACAAUUAAAAUCCCACGUGAAUAAGUUUGUUCACGCGAUGAGUCAUUAAUACUCAUAUUGCAUCAUCCUCCUCCUACCACUUCCUGUCGUCUUCUUCAUCAUUUCCGACAGUAGUAACAUUCUGUUGUUGAUCAUGUGACUUGCGUGAUGUGGAAAAAAUGUUUCCAUCGCAGUUUUUUUGCAAAAUUUGCUUAUUUUGAUACGUUUGAAAAACCACAAUCCUGACCCAAAACUGUGUCUUUUGAAAUUUCAACAUGUCUAUGAUGCAAAUUUAUUUUUGUAAUUCAAAUUUGUACAACCUUAUGGUAAAUGGAAAUGCAUCUACUGUAAACCAAGGUUAUUAUAUUAAUGAAUUAAAAAAAUAUGUGAUGAGUUUAACUUAAAUAAAUAACAGUAAUUAAUGGGGGAAAACAAAACUAACUAAAACAUACUGAAAUCAUACACAGAGCAUCUUUUAUUUUCGUGUUUAUGGAUCUAUUUAUUAACCAUUUGAGCUGAAACAAGCAGUUUACGUAAGCUGUCAAAUCACCGCACUUCAUCUCCACGCUCCUCCUGGCGACUUGUGUUAGUUCGCAAAAUGGCGACAGCAAAAGUUGUGAGAAAACGCCAGUCAGUUGGUUGUUCAACAAUAAUUGAAUACAUUUUUGAAACUGGUGUCUUCUGUUGAGUGUUCAUUAGCCAAUCGGUGUGUAAUCACAAUACUUUGACCUUUUUGAAUUAAUAAAACAAGUAAACGAACUCUAAAAGCUAAUUAAAGCUAACUUAGUUAGACAAACAAUGAAAUAAAACUAGAGUGUAAAGAAAAACAAAAUCUAUUAUAAUUUAUUGAGCUGCUUUUGAACACGUUUGGCUGAAAAAACCAAACAGCUUUGGGCAGGUUGUUAAAAUUCAGGCUGCUUUUCACAACAUUCGGCAAGUUUUUAUAAAUGUUUCAGAGGAAAACUCUAGUUGUUUCUGUGUGGCAGAAAAGCACAAAACGUUUAAUAAAAGGCAGUGUUAUUGCACUUAUCUUAUUUAAUUUAUUUUGAAAUCUCUAGAUUCUGUCGAACCUGAGCUCACCAAUAAUUAGUCAUUGAUUAAUCAAAUGUCAGUAUGUAAUAGUAUUAUAAAACAAAAAUCCCAGUGCAACGUCAUGAUUUAAAAGGACAUAUCACCAGAAAAACUAAAGUUUGAUUGGGAAUGUGAUCACUAAACAUCGUUCCCACAAGUCUGAACUGGAACUGAUCCGCGCCAUCUUGGUAGGUCAGCGCAGCACAAAGCAUAGCAGCAGAACCAUGGCUUUGAGACAAACACAAAGAAAGUAUAUUGACACUCUUUACCAAUACAAAUAUAUAUCAACAAAAUGACUGCUGUUGGAAUCGACCCGUGUGACAUAGAGAAUGGAAACAUGUCAGACAAUGUGGUCAACUUGACUACGAUACUAGCUAGUGAACAUUAAGAACAUAGAGAAGCUUCGUAUAAAUGCAAAUAAUCAAUAUUUAAACGACUUUCUAAAGGAUGUACAAACUCUAUGUGUGACUAACACGGUUCUGGUGAUUGGCACAGUAAGUACAUGUGGUAACAAACACGUAGGCUACAUGUCCGCCUUAGCUAGCAGAUUAAAAUUACUUUAGCUAAGCUAAUUUUGCUAGCUCGCCAGUAAGAACUACAGUAAAUAUCACUGAUAUUUAUCUUAGUAUUACACAGAGGUGGGUAGAGUACUCAAAAAUUGUAAUUGAGUAACAGUUGUAAUGUACUUACAUUGUUUAUCAGCUAGAUAGGAACGAGGUGAGAGUUAGUUCUAAGCUUCUGGCUUGCUUAUUGUUGUCAUAGCAACUCCAUAGCAACUGCCUGCCAAGAUGGCUGUCAGUUACAAAGUUCACAGAAGUGUAACGUCACAUGAGAACUAUGAAUUAACCAAAGUAUUGGGGGGGAAAAACCUAAAGCUACAAGUAAAAACUAAACUAAAACUCAACAAUAUUUGUUUCAAACAAACAUAUUCAAACUAACUAAAAACAAAAAGUCACAAUAAAAUAAAACUAAAACAUAAUGAAAAACUCAGAACUGUAAAACUGCUUUUGGACACGUUUGUCUGAAUAAAACCAGUGACAGUAGAACUAAUGUUUCUGUGAAACAUGAAGUUUUUCUCCUCUUGAAGGAGAAUUUUAAAUUAUAUAUGAAGAACUUGAGGAGCCUCUUUUGCUUCGGCUUCUUUAAUGGGUUUGGGACUGGAAGUGAAAGGACUGAAAGAUUCGGGAGAGCAGAUAUGAACGGGGAGGUACUGAUGCAAGGAUGGAGGUCGCUAAAAAGCUGCAUGUGUGUGUGUGUGUGUGUGCGUGUGUGUGGGUGAGUGUGUGUGUGUGUGUGGGUGUGUGUGUGUGUGUGUUAAGAGCUCUUAUCCCCCACGCAGUAGAGCAUGGAGUGCUGCACUCCCUGACCCUGUCGGUCAUUUCAUCUACUUCCAAAUGUCACGGUGUCACAGACCUUUGUUAAAAUCAGCAAGCAGGUUGAUCAUGUGUGUGUGGGUGUGUGUGUGUGUGUGUGUGUGUUUCUGAGUCAGAAAAACGCAGUAACUGUGUGUUUACUGCUACUCUAGUCGCAUUAAAACCAUCAAACCGAGCAAGAUGGCUGCCACUAAGACGUCUCAAUCAAAACAAUUAAAGAAAAGAAAUUUAUGAGACGUGAAAUAAAAAUGUAGCGAAGGAAUCAGCAGAGAUGUUUAUUUUUUUUAUUUUAUUCUCUAUUCUUGUUUGGAAGAAACAAUUGAUUUUCGGCAUUAAAGGGGAAAAGGAAGGGAGGUCAGCGAGGUGAUAUUAGCAGGAAAUAGGUUGGGGCAGGGAACGCUGUAGGCGAGCUGCAGCUAAACAGGCUAUUAUCAUUCAUUUACAGGAGAUUUCACAUUCACCACCACACAACCUGCACACACUGCCUAUUUUUAUAUCCAGUCGUUGUUUUUACUUUAAUUUCCUUUUUUCUUCUGCUCUGUUUUCCUUCACUUCAUUGAUUUUGUUGUUUUCUGUUUUUUAUCGUUAUUUAUUUAUGCUGCCUUUGCUCAUUCAUUUAAAUAUUCAUUAAUUCACUUUUUUUUCUGUCAUUUUCUACACUGCAAAAGCUUAUCUAGUGUAUAGGGCAAAUAUCUCAGUACACUUAAAUGUAACUUUCUUGUUUUACAUCAUUAAUUCAUAAAUAUUGAUUAAAAAAAAGUGCUUGUCCCACUGAGAAAUUAAUUUUUUCACCUGUUUCUCCAUGUUAUAAGUGAAAUAAUCUGCCAGUGGAACGAGUAUUUUUCCAUCCAUAUUUAGGAAUCAUUGACUCUGUAAAAGCUCCUAUUCUUCACAUUCUAUUUCUAUUCUGUACAUAUUUCUAUUUACUGUAUUUAUAAGUGUUUACUCAUCACUUAUGACAAUUUAUUUCAGUCACAUGAUUUUAUUCAUAGUUAUUUUAUCUUUUUUGAGUGUCAACAAAUUUUCUCUGCAGGAAUAAAAUGGUAAAUAAAAUCCAUGAAUCCUUGAAAUGUCUUUUUAUAAGUGACAUAAUCUGCCUUCAUAAUGUUUAUAGUCAUUAUUAAGGAAUGACUGACUUAAAACAAGCUGCUAUGAUUCUUAAAAGUUAUUUGUAAGUUAGUUUUGUCUUAUUUGAAGUGUGAUAAGAUAUUUGAACUGGAAACUAUACAAAAAUACUUGUUCAGAUCAUUGAGUGCUUUUUUUCCUCUUGUUUAGUGUCAAUAAUUUCAUAAAAUUUAUGAAAAAUUCAAUAUUCUACUGGCAGAUUAUUCCUUCCUUAAAUCUAAUUUUAUAUAUGUUCCCACAUUAUUGCCUUCCAGUUCUUGUUUCAACACCAUUUUUUUUGCUCUUCUGUAUUUGUUUUCAUUUCCUUCCCUCCUUUUCUUGACCUCACCUUUUCUUUUUCCCUCUUUAUCCUGCAGAGAUCCGGUUUUAUUGGCACAGCUUUGGAGAACCAAUACCAGCAGAUUAAACCGCUGUCCUUUUUUCCUCUCCUUGCUUUUAUUAAAGCGCCGCGGCUCAGACCGGACCUGCGUUUUUGCGUGUGAUCGCACGUGCGUCGCAGUAAUCGGCGCAUUAUUAUUAUCACACUCUCCUAAAUGAAUUCAUCUCUCCCACUGUACAGUAUGCCGGCGUUUGCAUCAACAAAUGCAAAUCCCAAGUGCCUUAAUGUCCCUGGAUGUUUACAGUGUGAUGACAGAAUGAAGAAACUGUGAUUCAUGUAAUGAAUGCAAUGAAAUAAAGUGCAAACACAUUUAGCCAUCAUAAGGUGCCGAGUGCGUUUGUUUACGUGUUUAUGUGAUUAGAAGCACUAAUAGCUUCAACUCGCUCUCAUGUUUGCUCUUAUUGCUUAAUUUUCAGAUCCAGCUUUUUUUUCCACAGGUGAAAACUGACUAGUGUGACACGUUGUGGAAGACUAGUGAUUUUGUUGUUGUAAAUUAACAUUUUUGGACAACAAGUCACAGUCUACCUCAGUGUUUCCCACCCAAACGUCCAUUUUUCCCAUUCAGUUUAUGACUUUUUUCUUCCUCCUAACUGCAUCUAUACAAUUAUAAUCAGCCCCCUGCAUUUGUUAUGUCUGCCUUGAAUGCCCCUGUUUUUAUAAGUAACGUAUGUUUACUGGUGGCUGAGAACAUCUUAAUAACACUUUCCUCCAUCAGUAGGAGUCUGAAAACGUUUCUCCUCCCACUCCUCCACAAAGAUGAUGAUCGCUUCAGAAACCGACGGAUGAAAGCGCUGCGGCUUCAAAACGCAGCGUGGAAAGUUUAACAAAUAAUCUGAAUGUUUUCCUCUCACAUCCAGCCAACGUUAGGCUGGUUUUCAUGUGGCUCUUCACCCUGGGUGCCACUGUGUUAGGGGAUAACAUGAAAAUCAGAAAAAGUCUUCAGACUCACUUUUGAUGUAGUUUAUCACCAUUAACCACAUAUCAUGGUCAGUUUGUAUUAGUGUAGCUAAUUUGUUAAAAAUUAUUUAGUCAAUAUAAAAACUGAUCAUUCCCAAAACAAGCCUUCACAUGCACGUGUCGCUGAUGACAUCACAAAAGGCACACAGCAACAGAUCAGAGUUUAAAACCUUUUUUUUUUUUUUCUUUCUCUUGAGUUUAGACUUAGGCCAUAAAUCAAUUUGAUUAAAUAAUCAUAUUUUCUGUGUUUGAAGGUUUAAUUUUUGAAAAAUCAGAGAUUUAAUUCUUGUAAGUUAACUGGCGAUUCCUGUCAGGCUAAGCACACAAACCAGUUAUCCCAGUGAAAUAAAUUUAGAUUCUAAAUGGGACUAAAACAAGUAAAACCAAAUAAAUGUUCACAACCUGAUUGAAAAAUAUCUAUUUUACUAAUAAUUAAUAAGCUAAUGGCAGGUUUAUCCUGCGUAGACGAGAGUGUUAACAUGUGAUAGUAUAAACUAUGAAAUGUCUGAAGGAACAAACAAGUAGAGGUUUAAAACAAAAAUGCUUGAAAAAGUAAACAAAAUGUCAAAAACAUGUAAUAGAAACUUUGUAUCAGUUGUUUCUGAAUGAAAUCGGGGGGGGGGGGGGGGGGGGGAAAUGUAGCCAAAUCUUACCUAAUAUUGGUGUCUAAGAAUUUUAAAAAACUAAUAUUGUUGGGAAAAUAAAUGCUAUUUUGUAAAAUUAGUGUUAAAAUAUCGCCCCCUACUGGCAGCUUACGGGUAAGUUUGUGUUUCUGUGUUUCUGCUUGUAAAAUUGCCAAAUAUAUGUAAAUAUUCCAAAAAAAGAGAAUAAAAAAGCUUGUUGAUCAGAUAGUCACCAAGUUUCCCAUCUGAUCUGACAUUUUUAUCUGUUGGGAAUGUUGGGAACCACAAACCUGGUUUGAAAUCUCACACAUAUGAAGGAAAUCUCUGUAAAUCAACAUGUGACUUUUAUAAACUGUCAAGCAUUUUCAAUAAAGAACCCUCAUAAUCUCCAAUGACUUAUCUGUACUUAUUUAUUCUCUUUUGUUUGAUUUCUGAUGUAAAGUAGCUAAAGGUAUGACAUUUGCAUAGUAAUAAAAGAUGUUAUUUACAUGUAAUGGACCUCGAAUUUGUAGUUUUUGUUUUAGUAAAGUCAUGUUUUUAGAUUAUUGCUGGAAAAAUUUUUCCUGUUUUUGUCUAUAUGUGAAAGACUCGUCCAGAAUGAACGCAGGAAUAAAUAUAUACUCCAAUAAAAUAAAGAUAAAAUAUAUUACAAGAAUUUUGCUUUAAGAAAUUGCAUUGAUAGAAUAGUUUGGCUAUUCAGAUAACUUCCUGUUUAAAAGCUUGGACCAGAACUAAGUAAAACUUUAGGAAAUGCCUUUUUUCCCCUCUGGGCUAAAAAAAUCCUUAAAUCUUAUUUUCUUCCUUUUUGGGACAAAAAAGUGCUUCUGAAUUUUUUUAUUUUAUUUUUUGUGCUCUAGACCAAAAUGUCCUUCUGAUCUUUUUCUGACAUUGUAUUUAUUGUGUUUGGCUCAAGAUAUAAACGAGGAAAAAAUCUCACGCUAAGGCUACUCGCGAUUUGAUGUGCUACACUGGGUGCCCUUUUUUCCACUUGAGCACAUGACCCUUAAAUAUUCUGUAUACGCCACUGUUAAAAACUGUUUAAAAUGUCUUAAAACUAUCAACUUUUUCAGGGUUUAAUUAAUGUUUUUGUACUACUCCACCACAAAUGAUUGAUUUCCAGGUCGUUUUGUUUGUAUUUAAAUAAAAUUGGUGAUAAAAA